AGUGAAUGCUGGCGGUAGGCCUAACACAUGCAAGUCGAACGGCAGCACAGUAAGAGCUUGCUCUUACGGGUGGCGAGUGGCGGACGGGUGAGGAAUACAUCGGAAUCUACUUUUUCGUGGGGGAUAACGUAGGGAAACUUACGCUAAUACCGCAUACGACCUACGGGUGAAAGCAGGGGAUCUUCGGACCUUGCGCGAUUGAAUGAGCCGAUGUCGGAUUAGCUAGUUGGCGGGGUAAAGGCCCACCAAGGCGACGAUCCGUAGCUGGUCUGAGAGGAUGAUCAGCCACACUGGAACUGAGACACGGUCCAGACUCCUACGGGAGGCAGCAGUGGGGAAUAUUGGACAAUGGGCGCAAACCUGAUCCAGCCAUACCGCGUGGGUGAAGAAGGCCUUCGGGUUGUAAAGCCCUUUUGUUGGGAAAGAAAAGCAGCAGGUUAAUACCCCGCUGUUCUGACGGUACCCAAAGAAUAAGCACCGGCUAACUUCGUG
rnacentral:rRNA from 1 species